rnacentral:rRNA from 1 species
GACGAACGCUGGCGGCGUGCUUAACACAUGCAAGUCGAACGGUAAGGCCCUUUCGGGGGUCCACGAGUGGCGAACGGGUGAGUAACACGUGGGUGAUCUGCCCUGCACUUUGGGAUAAGCCUGGGAAACUGGGUCUAAUACCGGAUAGGACUACGCGAUGCAUGUCGUGUGGUGGAAAGCUUUUGCGGUGUGGGAUGGGCCCGCGGCCUAUCAGCCUGUUGGUGGGGUGAUGGCCUACCAAGGCGACGACGGGUAGCCGGCCUGAGAGGGUGUCCGGCCACACUGGGACUGAGAUACGGCCCAGACUCCUACGGGAGGCAGCAGUGGGGAAUAUUGCACAAUGGGCGCAAGCCUGAUGCAGCGACGCCGCGUGGGGGAUGACGGCCUUCGGGUUGUAAACCCCUUUCAGCACAGACGAAGCGUAAGUGACGGUAUGUGCAGAAGAAGCACCGGCCAACUACGUG